ACUGCUACUAUUGCGCCCCCCUCCCUCCGCAUUCUCCUCAUGACGCCGUCAUCGCCCGGUGCUCUUUCCCUCGCCCUCCCCCCAUCUCCGACACCUACGCCGCGAGAUCCGCGGCCGUCCGCCUCCACCACGACGCCGGAGUCCUCGCACAGCUCCGAAGCCCGGUGCCCUCCCCUCGCCCAGCCUCGACACCCGGCGCUCUCUCCCUCCUCUCCGACAACUCCGCCGUAAGAGCCAAGCCUCCGCCCGUCCGCCGCGUCACCGGGGCGCGAGCCGCGCACGCGCUCGGCACCCUCUACUCUGCGGCAAGCCGUGGCCGCCCUCCCCCGAGCGCACCAGGGCGUGCGUUGCCUCCUCGCCCGCACUCCAGCAGACCCCGCUGCCCUGCAUCGGCCGCUGCACAACCACGCCACUGCCGCCACCGAGCCGAGGCGCCGCCUCCUCCGAGUCCUCCCUCUCUCACGCGCUGCAUCUUGCAGGACUCUUGAGGUCCUGUUCAGCCCAGGGUGGUAGACGGUGGAAACGGUGCAAGUGCCGGCGGCGGCAGGGGAGCCGGCCCCUUCAGCGAGCAGAGCAUCUUAGCCGCGAGGACUGCGCCUCCCCAGGAAAAAAUCCAUCUAAGUGAACCUUUGAUCAGAACAGCAACAGGGAAAUGCCAUAAUUACACGAAGUUGUGCCUGAGGUGAGCGGUGUCUUAGCAGAUCCAACAAUCAAAUUCUUGACCCUGUGACUGUGAGUGCGGAUGAAUUUUUUCUUGUUUGCAGCUGUAUUCGAGCUUAAGUAAGCCACCAAAAUAAUUUGUACAAUAUUUUCUCUUCAUUGCCAAAGAAAAACUUGUUUUGAGUGACUCCUAGGAGUGUCUAACCCUUUCUAGACAAAGUUGAGUGGAAGUUUGAAAACAACAAUAGUUCCUUAUUAUUUUCGUUGAGCAAUAACCUAAACUGUGAGAGUAUCUGAAUGCAUUUUUUAUGAAAUUUUUCUGUCUGCCUUAUUAAAGAUGGUGGAGAAUUUUUUUUUAUUUUGCAUUGGAUUCUCUAAGUGCACAAUUUGGACUAAAAGGCAGCUAAUUGCAGCUUCUCUGAACCCCUUGCAGCUUGACUAAAAGCGGAGAAGCUGCAGCUCGCCUUUUGUGGAUUUUAGGAUCCUGUGUGAAAAUCGAGUUUGUUUAACAGUCAAUUCAGAUUGUUUACAUGAAAUCGUGUAUGCAGGCUGAACUACGGUGACUCAAGACCCUGCUAAGUGGGUGUCAUUUAUUGCAUUCUCAUUGCCAUUUUGACGUGUAAGAUACUAUGCAAACCAGGCACUGUAGGCAUGUGAUCAAAUGAUGGUGUCAAGCUAGCUAAAUAUUUAACAGUGCGUACUUUAGUUCUCCAAAUAGUUUACAUGGAUAUUUUUCUAUCCUUUUAUUUCAGGUUUCUAUUCUGUUGUCAAAGAGGUCUCCAUAUUACGCAAUCGAAUAUGCAAAAGUUUACUAGAUGUAUGUUUGGCACCAAGGCAUGAGUGCAAUCGGUCAAAAAUAAACUGCAGAUUAAUCAUUGCGUUUUAGGUUCAGUUUAGAUUAUGAUUGAUUUGUUCCGUGAGAUUUGCAGAUGUGCAGAAGGGUAAGAUAAAUUAGCCAACAGAUCUUUGAACUGCUGGCAAGCUCUAGCAUCAAUCGGAACACUCACUUAAGAAUCUCAUGGUGUAAUUUUGCAGGUUAAUUGAUGAAAUUUUUGCAAGAAGCUGUUGCAGAGGUGUCUAGAGGGGAGUUGUUGGGUGACUGCCUGACUGAAGGUAGAGGCGACAAGAAAGGUCCAUGCUAAUGAGGGGCUGCAUCAGCAUGGGACUCUCCUUGACACUACACUGCAGGAGAUCGAUGCCAGGAUGUGAUGUGCGCGCGAGGAUAAUAUGAAGCUCAGCAAGGAGCGGAAUGCUUGUGCAGGAAUCCAACAAGCUGGAAGGAGACCAGCACAUGGUGCCUUCUUUGAUACUUCUGUUCAUGCUAUCUUUUGUAGAAAUUGGUUGGCUUAGUCUUAUGUAUCUCCAUAUGGUAUACUACAGCUUUGAAACGUUUUUUUAUAGGAAGAUUAAAGUAGUUAGGUGAAGCCUUGAAGGGGAACACUCUAUUUUGACUAUUUAUCACUAUGUAUUAAGAUCAUAAGAGAAUGCUGGAUUGUGAUUUCUUUGGUAAUUUGCUAUCUGUUAUGGGUUAGAAACUGAAAGACCUCAUGGGUAUUGAGCUCCAAAAUAUUGUACUUCUUAGUUCUGUUAUGAAAAUAAUGCUGGUCUAACCA